rnacentral:lncRNA from 1 species
UACUAUGUGAGUUUGCAUUGCUUGACUGAAUUUUUUUUAGAUCCGACACUUUGUGACCGCAUACAACAAAUUUUCAUAAUAUUCUCAGCACAAGCACUGAUCAUCAAUAUAAUAAUAUUAAGAAAAAGAGCACACAAAUAAGAUAAAGUAAUCAUAUGAAGUCUACUACUAUUAUUAUUAUUUCUUCAUCCACUCUUAGUGAAAAUGUCAAAAGAAUGACCUCCAGUGUUCUUCUUACUAGAUGUAUUGUCUCCCGCGUGUUCUUAUAUUGCAACAGUGCCUAUAAUUAUUGCAACAGUGCCCAAAAUUAUAGGCAAUAACUUUUCCAAAAGUAGUAUCUGCAUAAAGAAAGUGAAUCUUUUUUUCUCGAAAAUCAAAUCAUUACGAGUACACCAAAUUGCCCACGUUAAACCUGCGAACCCACUCACAUUCAGGUGUGUCAAUUUUCUUCAAUGGUUCCGAUUAGAUUUAUUAAUUGGUGGCCUGAUUAUAAUCGAUUUGCUCCCCGAUGCC